GACUUUCCCCCACCUCCCUGCUCUGAUAGUUUCCUCCGAGUCGUGGCAGCAGGAAACGCAGUGGAGCUCCAGUGACCCCUCAGAGGCCCGCUGCUUAGCGACACAGCUCGCCUGUGUCCUUGCCAGCCUCACACAGCCCCCAGUCUGGUCUCAGGACGGUUCUGUUCUGAAUCUAUCUCCCCCACCAGAGGAGUCCAGCCGCGACCAGCCGGACGACAGGAAGGACCUGCCAUGGGGUGCCCAGUUUGAGCUGCCUCCAGUGCUCCUGGAGAGGGACAGGUUAUUGGCACUCCGAUCUGUCCCUGUGGUGAAAGCAGAUUUA
rnacentral:lncRNA from 1 species